rnacentral:rRNA from 1 species
GGGGAAUAUUGCGCAAUGGGGGGAACCCUGACGCAGCCAUGCCGCGUGAAUGAAGAAGGCCUUCGGGUUGUAAAGUUCUUUCGGUAUUGAGGAAGGGAUGUGUGCUAAUAGUACACGUCAUUGACGUUAAAUACAGAAGAAGCACCGGCUAACUCCGUGCCAGCAGCCGCGGUAAUACGGAGGGUGCGAGCGUUAAUCGGAAUAACUGGGCGUAAAGGGCACGCAGGCGGUUAUUUAAGUGAGGUGUGAAAGCCCCGGGCUUAACCUGGGAAUUGCAUUUCAGACUGGGUAACUAGAGUACUUUAGGGAGGGGUAGAAUUCCACGUGUAGCGGUGAAAUGCGUAGAGAUGUGGAGGAAUACCGAAGGCGAAGGCAGCCCCUUGGGAAUGUACUGACGCUCAUGUGCGAAAGCGUGGGGAGCAAACAGGAUUAGAUACCCUGGUAGUCCACGCUGUAAACGCUGUCGAUUUGGGGAUUGGGCUUUAAGCUUGGUGCCCGUAGCUAACGUGAUAAAUCGACCGCCUGGGGAGUACGGCCGCAAGGUUA